rnacentral:snRNA from 1 species
GGGGCCCUAGGGCCCCCCUUGGGAAACACUGGUUUAGAACAACACAGAGAAGAUUAGCAUGACCCCUGCGCAAGGACGGCAUGUGUGUCUUGAGAGUGACCCAGAAGUAGU